GGUGAGGUGUCCGAGUGGCCGAAGGAGCACGCCUGGAAAGUGUGUAAGUCGAAAGGCUUCGAGGGUUCGAAUCCCUCCCUCACCGCCA
rnacentral:tRNA from 3 species